UUGGGAAUCUUGCACAAUGGGGGAAACCCUGAUGCAGCAAUGCCACGUGAGUGAUGAAGGCCUUCGGGUCGUAAAGCUCUUUCAGCGGGGAAGAAGGGUAACUUGACGGUACCCGCAAAAGAAGCACCGGCUAACUCCGUGCCAGCAGCCGCGGUAAUACGGAGGGUGCGAGCGUUGUUCGGAAUCAUUGGGCGUAAAGCGCGUGUAGGCGGUUUGCUAAGUCUGAUGUGAAAUCCCUGAGCUCAACUCAGGAACUGCAUCGGAUACUGGCUAACUAGAGGACAGGAGAGGAGAGUGGAAUUCCUGGUGGAGGGGUGAAAUCCGUAGAUAUCAGGAGGAACAUCGGUGGCGAAGGCGGCUCUCUGGCCUGUUCCUGACGCUCAGACGCGAAAGCGUGGGGAGCAAACAGG
rnacentral:rRNA from 1 species